rnacentral:rRNA from 1 species
CCUACGGGUGGCAGCAGUGGGGAAUAUUGCACAAUGGGGGAAACCCUGAUGCAGCGACGCCGCGUGAGUGAAGAAGUAAUUCGUUACGUAAAGCUCUAUCAGCAUGGAAGAAAUACUGACCUUACGGUCAGCAGACGGUACCUGAGUAAGAAGCCCCGGCUAACUACGUGCCAGCAGCCGCGGUAAUACGUAGGGGGCAAGCGUUAUCCGGAUUUACUGGGUGUAAAGGGAGCGUAGACGGUGCGCCAAGUCUGGGGUGAAAUGCCGCAGCUUAACUGCGGAACUGCUUUGGAAACUGGCGAACUAGGGUGCGGGAGGGGUAAGCGGAGUUCCUAGUGUAGCGGUGAACUGCGUAGAUAUUAGGAGGAACACCGGUGGCGAAGGCGGCUUACUGGACCGUAACUGACGUUGAGGCUCGAACGCGUGGGGAGCAAACAGGCUUCGCUACCCUUGUCGU